GAAAUGCGAUAAGUAAUGUGAAUUGCAGAAUUCAGUGAAUCAUCGAAUCUUUGAACGCACAUUGCGCCCCCUGGUAUUCCGGGGGGCAUGCCUGUUCGAGCGUCAUUUCACCACUCAAGCCUCGCUUGGUAUUGGGCGACGCGGUCCGCCGCGCGCCUCAAAUCGACCGGCUGGGUCUUCCGUCCCCUCAGCGUUGUGGAAACUAUUCGCUAAAGGGUGCCGCGGGAGGUCACGCCGCAAAACAACCCCAUUUCUAAGGUUGACCUCGGAUCAGGUAGGGAUACGCGCUGAACUUAAGC
rnacentral:misc_RNA from 1 species